rnacentral:lncRNA from 1 species
CCCCAAAUUACCCAGGAUUCUACAGUAAUAACUGCGUGCUCCGCUGGGUCGUCCAUGCUCCUCGGGGCCAUGUUGUCAAGGUGAUGUGCAAAACUUUAUCAGCUGGCUCUGCUGCACUUCAUAACCUAACAUUAUGGCAGUUUAAGUGAUGAAAAUGUCUUCACUGUGUUUCCAGCUGGACUUUAUAGAUUUUGACCUGGAGGAAUCAGACAGAUGUUUGUACGAUUCCCUGACGGUGCUGGCAGAUGUUGGAGAAAGUGAGGAGAUCGGUGGGUUGGAUGAACCCUUUCUCUUUCUUUGUCUCUGCCUGAUAACAGUAUACUGUACAAUACAAUAUGUUGUGUUUAGCGGUGCUGUGUGGUGCCAGUGUCCCUCCUCCUGUCCUGUCUUACCACAGCGUCAUGGUUCUUCGCUUCACGUCAGACAGCACCAUCACACACAGGGGCUUCAAGGCUACAUUAACAUUCAUCAGCAUCACAGACUUGAAGAGUCAGGACAGAACACCUAUAGUGGCACAAGCAGAGGUUUCAACAUCGAUCCGGCGACACACCACACCUUAUGACGUGCAGCAGUCCAGCAGCAGAGCUCUAGCUGAUGUGCAGGAGGUCACAGAUGAUGGAGAGGAGGGUUCAGAUGAUGAAGACAACAGCAGCGAAUCAUCAGGGACCGCACAGUAACCUGCUGGUCAUGGAUAUUCAUCAUGCCAACCUAUCAAAGCUGG